UACGAAGGGGGCUAGCGUUGUUCGGAAUUACUGGGCGUAAAGCGUAUGCAGGCGGAUCGUUAAGUCGGGGGUGAAAUCCCGAGGCUCAACCUCGGAACUGCCUUCGAUACUGGCGACCUUCGAGUCCGGGAGAGGUGAGUGGAACUCCGAGUGUAGAGGUGAAAUUCGUAGAUAUUCGGAAGAACACCAGUGGCGAAGGCGGCUCACUGGCCCGGUACUGACGCUGAGACGCGAAAGCGUAGGGAGCAAACGGG
rnacentral:rRNA from 1 species